rnacentral:rRNA from 1 species
GAUGAACGCUGGCGGCGUGCCUAAUACAUGCAAGUCGAGCGAACAGACGAGGAGCUUGCUCCUCUGACGUUAGCGGCGGACGGGUGAGUAACACGUGGAUAACCUACCUAUAAGACUGGGAUAACUUCGGGAAACCGGAGCUAAUACCGGAUAAUAUAUUGAACCGCAUGGUUCAAUAGUGAAAGACGGUUUUGCUGUCACUUAUAGAUGGAUCCGCGCCGCAUUAGCUAGUUGGUAAGGUAACGGCUUACCAAGGCGACGAUGCGUAGCCGACCUGAGAGGGUGAUCGGCCACACUGGAACUGAGAAACGGUCCAGACUCCUACGGGAGGCAGCAGUAGGGAAUCUUCCGCAAUGGGCGAAAGCCUGACGGAGCAACGCCGCGGGAGUGAUGAAGGUCUUCGGAUCGUAAAACUCUGUUAUUAGGGAAGAACAAAUGUGUAAGUAACUAUGCACGUCUUGACGGUACCUAAUCAGAAAGCCACGGCUAACUACGUG